ACGAAGAGGAGGACAGGAGGAAGAGGAGAAGCUGGGAGGGUGCGAAUGGGGUCCAGGGUUAUCUCCAAAGAGAAAACAACAUUCUUGGGAGCUGACAACACUGAUGUCUCGAGCAAAAAAACAAUUCUCUGCAACACCCCUGCUGCAUUCCUUCAGUCCAGCAGAGGGUAUAGAAGUAAACGUCCAAGGGCACGGAGGUGACAGGGAGAGGGAGAGAAAAGGAGAGGGGAUGGCUGGUGUUUCCCCAGAGCGGGGAUUCUCAAGCACCAGUGAUCUGACCCCUCCGAGGACACGUGGCAACGUCUGGAGGCAAUUUUUGGCUGUCACAACUGUGGUGUGAGCGGGGAGGAAGAGUUCCUGCCACUGGCGUGUAGUCACCGAGGUCGGGGACGCUGCGGCACAUCCCCUGCCCCCCCCCCCCACGCGAUUACCCAGCCCCGAAGAUCCGUCCUUUGCAAACGCCCCAGAAGAGAUGGCUUCGGAGGUGGAACCAAUGGAAGAGUGACAGAGGCCCAGCAACACGGCGGGAUUGGCGCGCGGACGCGAGCACGUGACGGGCUGAGCUCACAAAGGGCCUGGGGUGUUGGGCCGCUGGGGGCGGGGUGGGCGGUGCUGGUGGGACUGGUGCCCGUCUGUCUGCCUGCCUUUCCUCCUUUCCCCAAAGGAUUUGGUUCCCCUGAAGGUCAUAACCGUGUUUGGGACUUGACUCAGCAUCAUGAGAAAGAAAAUCCAAGAGCACAGCGAUCAGCAAACAUUUCCCCCAAGAGAGAGGAUGAGAUCAAGGGCUGGCUGGGAACCGUUUGCCUUGCUUUGUCAUUGUCAUGUCAUAGGUAACCAUAAAAGGUCAUGAUCUCACCGUUCCAGGAGUUUCGAGCCCUGCGUUGGGCUCUUCACUGGCAGCACAGAGCUUGCUUGGGAUUCUCUCUCUCUCUCCUUCUCUCUCUGCCCCUCCUUUACUCACACUGUCUCUCUCUCUCAUAAAUAAAUUUUAAAACUUAAUAACAUAAAACUGUUUACAAAUUCCUUUGGAAACUUCCUUUGUGUCUAUCCCAGCCCCAAAGAUCUAUGUUAGCAAUGACUCCAAACUCACAGCCCACAGAUGUACAUCUGAAGGGGCUCAUGACUGAGGUUUUACUAGACGGUAGUAAGGUAGUAAAUGACCUUUUCCUAACCGUGGGAAAUCUUGUUUCCAAAAUACCUUGGAGGCUUGUGCUGUCCCUAACCCCCUCCCGACUUGAAAGUAUAGCAUCGGCCCCCCUUUAAGACCCUAACACGUCCUGUCCCUGUGCUUUAAUAAAACCACAUUUUUGCACCAAA